GAAAACACAUACAUAGAUAGAUUACUUUAAGAUAAUAAAAUUGGUACCCUCAUUUCAUAACAAGCUCAUAUGUAACAGCAAGCACAGAAGAAACAAGCAGCAAACUAUUAAAUCCACCAUCAGCAUAUUGACACCAAACUCAUUGGAUGUUUAAAGCCAUAAAUAAGUUUUGUUUUCGAGCAUGCUCCGGAAUAAGCUUCUGGAUCGUCUCUCUAGGUAUCCCAGCAAGUUACCUUGUGGUUUAUAGUUGAAGAGUGGAGGAAGGGGGCGACCAUUGGGAAGACGGGUAUUUGGGUCCCUUAAUUCAUCAAAGAAGGGAUGAACACAAGCUUCCAACUUGCAUCGUAAAUUGGGUGAAUACUGGA
rnacentral:lncRNA from 1 species